AGAUUAAGUUAUUAAGGGCGCACGGUGGAUGCCUUGGCACUAGAAGCCGAUGAAGGACGUUACUAACGACGAUAUGCUUUGGGGAGCUGUAAGUAAGCUUUGAUCCAGAGAUUUCCGAAUGGGGAAACCCAGCAUGAGUUAUGUCAUGUUAUCGAUAUGUGAAUACAUAGCAUAUCAGAAGGCACACCCGGAGAACUGAAACAUCUUAGUACCCGGAGGAAGAAAAAGAAAAUUCGAUUCCCUUAGUAGCGGCGAGCGAAACGGGAAGAGCCCAAACCAACAAGCUUGCUUGUUGGGGUUGUAGGACACUCUAUACGGAGUUACAAAGGACGACAUUAGACGAAUCAUCUGGAAAGAUGAAUCAAAGAAGGUAAUAAUCCUGUAGUCGAAAAUGUUGUCUCUCUUGAGUGGAUCCUGAGUACGACGGAACACGUGAAAUUCCGUCGGA
rnacentral:rRNA from 1 species